CUCUGUUCUAUUAAACCAGGUCAACACUGUUCUAUUAAACCAGUACAACACUGUUCUAUUAAACCAGGUCAACUCUGUUCUAUUAAACCAGGUCAACACUGUUCUAUUAAACCAGGUCAACACUGUUACCAGAUCAACACUGUUCUAUUA